rnacentral:rRNA from 1 species
CCUACGGGGUGCUGCAGUGAGGAAUAUUGGUCAAUGGGCGCGAGCCUGAACCCGCCAAGUAGCGUGAAGGAUGACUGCCCUACGGGUUGUAAACUUCUUUUAUAAAGGAAUAAAGUGAGGCACGUGUGCCUUUUUGUAUGUACUUUAUGAAUAAGGAUCGGCUAACUCCGUGCCAUCAGCCGCGGUAAUACGGAGGUUCCGAGCGUUAUCCGGAUUUAUUGGGUUUAAAGGGAGCGUAGAUGGGUUGUUAAGUCAGUUGUGAAAGUUUGCGGCUCAACCGUAAAAUUGCAAUUGAUACUGGCAGUCUUGAGUACAGUUGAGGUAGGCGGAAUGCGUGGUGUAGCGGUGAAAUGCUUAGAUAUCACGAAGAACUCCGAUUGCGAAGGCAGCUUACUAAACUGCCACUGACAUUGAUGCUCGAAAGUGUGGGUAUCAAACAGGAUUAGAUACCCUUGUAGUC